UCCCCGAGGAGGAACCAAAUCUGCCGGUGGACAGCAGCUUCCUCUGAUGCCUGGACAUUCCUGCUUGCCUUUCCAGAAGGCCCACCCUAUGGCCUUCAGAUUCUCCUAACUAGCCCCACAAUUAGGUAAAAUCACUCACAGAAGGCAAAUAUCUUAAAUAGAGCUUGGGGUGGGUGUACUCAUGGGGAGGAGGCCGGACCUGCUCUUCCUCGCCUGCCUGGGGCUCCAGUGAGUCACCCUGAGAAGUGGCCACCAAGGUCAUGCUGUGUGGUGAUUGAUAGCAUGGACUGUGCCUGAGUUUGACGCCCAGUCAAAUGCGUGAUGCUCCCCAUUACCAAGGGCCUUCCCCUUCCUCUGACCAAGAGCAUGAAGGGGUUUCUGGGGAAAAUGAUGCUUGUGACCUCCCCAUUCAUUAGACUCUGGCUGAAACAAAAGGGAAUGAGAGGAAACUAUGACUUUUAAGUCAAAGAGUAAAGGCAACACGGACCACACCAGUUGGAACAGCCCUCCCAGGCCUCUUCUGCAGUGGGCACUGUGGCUGGGCCACAGCAUCCUGACUCCUCAUCAUCCAUGGACUCAGGACUCCUCAAGGACAACAGGUGGAUUAGAUGGGAAGUGGUGGAGAUGGGACUUGAAUCCAAGCCUGCAUGCAGAAGACCAGACUUUGCUUUCCACCAUUCUUCCAGUCACUCAGCAAACAUUUACUGAGUCACCGACCAUCUCCCAGACAUGUUC